CCUACGGGGGGCAGCAGUGGGGAAUAUUGGACAAUGGGGGCAACCCUGAUCCAGCCAUGCCGCGUGUGUGAAGAAGGCCCUCGGGUUGUAAAGCACUUUCAGUGAGGAAGAACGCCUGGUGGUUAAUACCCAUCAGGAAAGACAUCACUCACAGAAGAAGCACCGGCUAACUCCGUGCCAGCAGCCGCGGUAAUACGGAGGGUGCGAGCGUUAAUCGGAAUUACUGGGCGUAAAGCGCGCGUAGGUGGCUUGAUAAGCCGGUUGUGAAAGCCCCGGGCUCAACCUGGGAACGGCAUCCGGAACUGUCAAGCUAGAGUGCAGGAGAGGAAGGUAGAAUUCCCGGUGUAGCGGUGAAAUGCGUAGAGAUCGGGAGGAAUACCAGUGGCGAAGGCGGCCUUCUGGACUGACACUGCCACUGAGGUGCGAAAGCGUGGGUAGCAAACAGGAUUAGAUACCCCGGUAGUA
rnacentral:rRNA from 1 species